rnacentral:rRNA from 1 species
UACGGAGGGUUCGAGCGUUGUCCGGAAUCACUGGGCGUAAAGGGCGCGUAGGCGGCCCGUUAAGUGGCUGGUGAAAUCCCGCGGCUCAACUGCGGGGCUGCCGGUCAGACUGGCGAGCUAGAGCACGGUAGGGGCAGAUGGAAUUCCCGGUGUAGCGGUGGAAUGCGUAGAGAUCGGGAAGAAUACCAGUGGCGAAGGCGUUCUGCUGGGCCGUUGCUGACGCUGAGGCGCGACAGCGUGGGGAGCAAACAGG